rnacentral:rRNA from 1 species
CAAUAGCGUAUAUUAAAGUUGUUGCGGUUAAAAAGCUCGUAGUUGGAUUUCUGCUGAGGAUGACCGGUCCGCCCUCCGGGUGAGUAUCUGGCUCAGCCUUGGCAUCUUCCUGAAGAACGUAACUGCACUUGACUGUGUGGUGCGGUAUUUAGGACAUUUACUUUGAGGAAAUUAGAGUGUUUCAAGCAAGCGCACGCCUUGAAUACAUUAGCAUGGAAUAAUAAGAUAGGACCUCGGUUCUAUUUUGUUGGUUUCUAGAGCUGAGGUAAUGAUUGAUAGGGAUAGUUGGGGGCAUUCGUAUUUAACUGUCAGAGGUGAAAUUCUUGGAUUUGUUAAAGACGGACUACCGCGAAAGCAUUUGCCAAGGAUGUUUUCAUUGA